GUCCUCGUAGCUUACAACAAAGCAUGACACUGAAGAUGUCAAGACGGCUGCCCCAUCAUGCACCCGAGAACA
rnacentral:tRNA from 1 species